rnacentral:rRNA from 1 species
UACAGAGGUCUCAAGCGUUGUUCGGAUUCAUUGGGCGUAAAGGGUGCGUAGGCGGCGCGGUAAGUCGGGUGUGAAAUCUCGGAGCUUAACUCCGAAACUGCAUUCGAUACUGCCGUGCUUGAGGACUGGAGAGGAGACUGGAAUUUACGGUGUAGCGGUGGAAUGCGUAGAUAUCGUAAGGAAGACCAGUAGCGAAGGCGGCACUCUGGGCCGGUACUGACGCUGAGGAGCGAAAGCGUGGGGAGCGAACAGG